rnacentral:lncRNA from 1 species
CUUUGAUCUGGACAAACCCAACUGCCUUUAUUGUUGCACAGCCUUCUGUGUCAUCAGUGGAGGAAGUGUUUCCCUGUACUCUAAACUCACCUUCUAUCAUGACCUGUUUGGGGUGUUUAGAUCAUUGCAGGUAAACACUGAGCUCGUUGCCUGAGCCAAAUAGCCCUGGUGCCAUAACAGCAACCUCACAACACCGUAGCAACAAACACCUAUUACACUUGUUACCUGUCAGGAGCUACUUUGUGCACUUCGAAUGGAUUAUUACCUUAUUGAAUCCCACAACAACCUUAGGAGUCACCAGGAUAACAGCAGAUCUACAGAAGCAGAGGAGGAUGGAGCCAAUGGCCAAGGCCACAGACACACCAUAGCUAUGAGCUGGACCCCAUGGACCUUAUGAACUAGGAGUCUUGUGCUACAGAUCGACGUUUGGCCCUGGGUCAGCGGCGCUCCCUUCAGACCAGUGGCGACUGCCUGAGAGACUUCUGGGCCAAGCAGGCGGUCAUAUAUUUCUUCCUUAAUCCUGUGUGCGUGGGCGAAGCAUCAGGCAAAGGUAUAAAUAAAAUGUUCUGAC